rnacentral:rRNA from 1 species
UACGUAGGGUGCGAGCGUUGUCCGGAAUUAUUGGGCGUAAAGAGCUCGUAGGCGGUGUGUCGCGUCGGCCGUGAAAACCUGCAGCUUAACUGUGGGCUUGCGGUCGAUACGGGCAUCACUGGAGUUCGGCAGGGGAGACUGGAAUUCCUGGUGUAGCGGUGGAAUGCGCAGAUAUCAGGAGGAACACCAAUAGCGAAGGCAGCUCGCUGGGACGGUACUGACGCUGAGGUGCGAAAGCGUGGGGAGCAAACAGG